UGGCUCAGAUUGAACGCUGGCGGCAGGCCUAACACAUGCAAGUCGAGCGGUAACAUUUCUAGCUUGCUAGAAGAUGACGAGCGGCGGACGGGUGAGUAAUGCUUGGGAACAUGCCUUUAGGUGGGGGACAACAGUUGGAAACGACUGCUAAUACCGCAUAAUGUCUACGGACCAAAGUGGGGGACCUUCGGGCCUCACGCCUAAAGAUUGGCCCAAGUGGGAUUAGCUAGUUGGUGAGGUAAUGGCUCACCAAGGCGACGAUCCCUAGCUGGUUUGAGAGGAUGAUCAGCCACACUGGGACUGAGACACGGCCCAGACUCCUACGGGAGGCAGCAGUGGGGAAUAUUGCACAAUGGGCGCAAGCCUGAUGCAGCCAUGCCGCGUGUGUGAAGAAGGCCUUCGGGUUGUAAAGCACUUUCAGUAAGGAGGAAAGGUUGGAUGUUAAUAGCA
rnacentral:rRNA from 1 species